AUUGAACGCUGGCGGCAUGCCUUACACAUGCAAGUCGAACGGCAGCACGGGUGCUUGCACCUGGUGGCGAGUGGCGAACGGGUGAGUAAUAUAUCGGAACGUACCUUAUUGUGGGGGAUAACGCAGCGAAAGCUGUGCUAAUACCGCAUAAUCCCUUAGGGGGAAAGCGGGGGACCGUAGGGCCUCGCGCAAUUAGAGCGGCCGAUACCUGAUUAGCUAGUUGGUGAGGUAAAGGCUCACCAAGGCGACGAUCAGUAGCUGGUCUGAGAGGCCGGUCAGGCAAACUGGGACUGAGACACGGCCCAGACGCCUGCGGGAGGCAGCAGUGGGGAAUUUUGGACAAUGGGGGCAACCCUGAUCCAGCAAUGCCGCGUGAGUGAAGAAGGCCUUCGGGUUGUAAAGCUCUUUUGUCAGGGAAGAAACAGCAGCUCUAACACAGUAUGCGAAUGACGGUACCUGAAGAAUAAGCACCGGCUAACUACGUGCCAGCCGCCGCGGUAA
rnacentral:rRNA from 1 species